UAAGAUCAAGGGAAGAGAAAGUGUCAUAAUCAACGUUAAACUUAGGGUUUACAGGGUUGGAUUACUUCGUUUCUCUUGUAUACAAAUUUUGCAAAGUAAGGUUAAUUUCAUUAUUUCAAUUCAAGUUCGAAUUGAGGGCAAACAUAUCCAUAGCGAGGCCGAUUAGGGAACUACCUAAACAGAUUCUUGUAUACUCUCUCUCUCUAUCUCUCUCU
rnacentral:lncRNA from 1 species